CGUAGCUGCUACUCGGACUUGUCGAGCCUCACAAGCAGUGCGACCCUGUGAAUAUGUUUUACUACUCAGGGGUGGCUAGAGGUGUUCGUCACCUCGGUCCCCCUCGUGUCGGGAGGCGCCCCACCCUGUGUGGUCUCCUCCUGGCCCAAUAACAAAACCCCGGCGCCGAACGCGCCAAGGAAAUUUUAAUUGUCUAGUGCGCCCCCGUCGGCCCGGAGACGGUGCCCGUGCGGGUGGCGUUGCGACACAUGUAUCCUAAAGACUCUCGGCAACGGAUAUCUCGGCUCUUGCAUCGAUGAAAAACGUAGCGAAAUGCGAUACUUGGUGUGAAUUGCAAAAUCCCGUGAACCAUCGAGUCUUUGAACGCAAGUUGCGCCCGAAGCCAUUAGGCCGAGGGCACGCCUGCCUGGGUGUUGCACAUCGUUGCCCCUGUUCCUUGGCCACGUGCUAGGCACCGAGUGGGGCGAAUGUUGGCUUCCCGUGAGCAGUGUCUCACGGUUGGUUGAAAACUGAGUUCGCGGUGGAGGGCGCCGUGAUGGAAGGUGGCUGAGUUAAAGCUCGAGACCGAUCGUGCGUGUCACCCCCACCAGCUUUGCAACUCUGUGACCCAUGGGGGUCUGUUGGCCUCCUAAGACGGGAACCUCAGGUCAGGCGGGGCUACCCGCUGAGUUUAAGCAUAUCAAUAAGCGGGAGGAGGAA
rnacentral:rRNA from 1 species